rnacentral:sRNA from 1 species
GCUGGGUGUGGUGGCGCAUGCCUGUAAUCCCAGUAGCUCGGGAGGCUGAGGCAGGAGGAUCGCAAGUUCAAAACCAGCCUCAGCAAUGGCAAGGCACUAAGCAUCUCAGUGAGACCCUGUCUCUA